rnacentral:lncRNA from 1 species
GAUAUUUUAUUAACUGUAAUACAAAACAUAAUUUUUUUUUAUUACACCAUAUUACAUUACAAAUAAAUAUCUAGAGCCAAAAACUUACAGAUACAUCAAAAAUUCUACAACAACAAAUGAUACAGCUACAGCUACAACGAAAACAGCUACAGCUACAGCCACACAGCUACAACAAAAAUUUUACAUCAAAAAUUCGACAGCUACAGCCGAACCAAUCACCCACUCAAUCUUUUCAUUUUGUGCGAAAACAAGCGAAUUAGUCGACGUUGUUAAAAGUCCGUUAACGCGUGUUUACGUGAACGCAACAUUAUUAACGCCGUACGGCGGACAACAAUGGAAGAGUCUAUUUGGAUUUUGUCUCUGUGCCGGAUGUCCUCAUGACACUCGAUUUACCGUAUUUGUAUUUUCCGGGUGUUCUUUGGUAUCCACGACGUCCAAAAUUGUCACCGAAUCCUUCACGAAUUCAAAAUCAAAUAAGCACUAUUGAUCUAUUAGAAAUGAAAAUUUCAUAAUGGUAAUGAAAUUGAGAUACAAACAUGAAUCCGUUGAUGACUUUAUUGUCAAAGCUAAAAGAAGUCGAGAAGAAGACUCGGCCGAUUUAGGGUAUCCGGAGGAAUUUGAGGA